rnacentral:rRNA from 1 species
AUUGAACGCUGGCGGCAGGCCUAACACAUGCAAGUCGAACGGUAACAGGAAGAAGCUUGCUUCUUUGCUGACGAGUGGCGGACGGGUGAGUAAUGUCUGGGAAACUGCCUGAUGGAGGGGGAUAACUACUGGAAACGGUAGCUAAUACCGCAUAACGUCUCAAGACCAAAGAGGGGGACUUUCGGGCCUCUUGCCAUCGGCUGUGCCCAGAUGGGAUUAGCUAGUAGGUGGGGUAACGGCUCACCUAGGCGACGAUCCCUAGCUGGUCUGAGAGGAUGACCAGCCACACUGGAACUGAGACACGGUCCAGACUCCUACGGGAGGCAGCAGUGGGGAAUAUUGCACAAUGGGCGCAAGCCUGAUGCAGCCAUGCCGCGUGUAUGAAGAAGGCCUUCGGGUUGUAAAGUACUUUCAGCGGGGAGGAAGGGAGUAAAGUUAAUACCUGUGCUCAUUGACGUUACCCGCAGAAGAAGCACCGGCUAACUCCGUG